rnacentral:rRNA from 1 species
AUUGAACGCUGGCGGCAGGCCUAACACAUGCAAGUCGAGCGAGCGGCGGACGGGUGAGUAGUGUCUGGGGAUGGUCCUGAGGGUGGGGGAUCACUACUGGAAACGGUUGCUAAUACCGCAUACCAUCAGCGGGAUCUAUUUGGGAUUAGCUUGUAGGUGAGGGAAAGGCUCACCUAGGCGACGAUCCCUAGCUGGUCUGAGAGGAUGAUAAGCCACACUGGGACUGAGACACGGCCCAGACUCCUACGGGAGGCAGCAGUGGGGAAUAUUGCACAAUGGGCGCAAGCCUGAUGCAGCCAUGCCGCGUGUAUGAAGAAGGCCUUCGGGUUGUAAAGUACUUUCAGUCGGGAGGCGUUACCGACAGAAGAAGCACCGGCUAACUCCGUGCCAGCAGCCGCGGUAAUAC